rnacentral:tRNA from 1 species
UCUUCUUUAGCUCAGUGGUAGAGCAGCGCGUUUCAUUUUGUUGUUUGUCUCGUGUUUAAAGGUUAGUUGAUUUUCAUCGCGCAGGUCACCGGUUCGAAUCCGGUAAGAAGAA